rnacentral:snoRNA from 1 species
CCCCUCUCAGGGUCACAGCUGGAGAGUUUUCAGUACUCUACCAGUCUUGGCUACGAGAGGGAGAGUCAAGCAGAGGCCUGUCCAUUCCAUUCUUAGCUUGGCCGUGGCUGGCGAGUGGAAGGCAAUCUGCUACAAAU